AAAGGUAGUGGGAUCAGGAUCUGGGUUUUUGUUGGUGUUUGUGUUUUUGUGCUUGCUACAUGUGCUCAUUCUCAGGUGGUGCUGGAGCUCUCAGGUGUGCUGGGUGACAGGUGCGACUUAUUCCACUGAUUACUCUGAGGAGUACUUAAGCAGGAGGCUGCCAGCACUUUGAUGCCAGAGUGUUUUGCCACCAGUGGUACAAGCUUGAGCCAAACAUUAAGCCAAUGCUUUGUACUUCAACCUUGUGUCAUUUUAUUUUUGCUCCUUUGCAGAUUUUGAACGCCUAAGCUUUGGAUCUAUGUCACUAAGUUUGACAAUGUUUCUGGAAGUUAUUCUGGAUGAUCAAGCCUGCCUACGUCUUGUGGAUUUCUAUCCUAUCAUCUGUCUUCGUUUGGAUUUCGCAUCAAGCUGGCAGUUUUCCUGCUCCUGUCCUCUCCUGGACCAAGCCGUAAGUGUAACCUGUCCACCCUCCAACGUAAACCUCCGCACACCAAACUCAUUACUGUCUGCUCCGAGCUCAUACCGAACAGUACCCAGGAGACCUUCUAUGGAUUCGUCCUCACUAAGCCUGGAUCCUGAAUCUCUCUACCCCUGGCGACCUGACCACAGUGUUUUUUUGACCAUUUCGUUCCUGAUUAUCACCAUCAAAAUAACCUUUUAUUCAUUCUGUUCUCCGGAGUGCUCUGUAUGUGGGUCAGAUCAAUUGUUAACAUAAUGACAAGCGGUACCAAAGCACAAACUUACUCAUCUAGUUUCACAAAACAUUAGGAUUUAAUAUUAAAAAAAGAAUUUUGUAGUAA